CCUUGCGCGAACGGAGCGGCCGAUGGCAGAUUAGGUAGUUGGUGGGAUAAAAGCUUACCAAGCCGACGAUCUGUAGCUGGUCUGAGAGGACGACCAGCCACACUGGGACUGAGACACGGCCCAGACUCCUACGGGAGGCAGCAGUGGGGAAUUUUGGACAAUGGGCGAAAGCCUGAUCCAGCCAUGCCGCGUGCAGGAUGAAGGCCUUCGGGUUGUAAACUGCUUUUGUACGGAACGAAAAGACUCUGGUUAAUACCUGGGGUCCAUGACGGUACCGUAAGAAUAAGCACCGGCUAACUACGUGCCAGCAGCCGCGGUAAUACGUAGGGUGCAAGCGUUAAUCGGAAUUACUGGGCGUAAAGCGUGCGCAGGCGGUUAUAUAAGACAGAUGUGAAAUCCCCGGGCUCAACCUGGGAACUGCAUUUGUGACUGUAUAGCUAGAGUACGGCAGAGGGGGAUGGAAUUCCGCGUGUAGCAGUGAAAUGCGUAGAUAUGCGGAGGAACACCGAUGGCGAAGGCAAUCCCCUGGGCCUGUACUGACGCUCAUGCACGAAAGCGUGGGGAGCAAACAGGAUUAGAUACCCUGGUAGUCCACGCCCUAAACGAUGUCAACUGGUUGUUGGGUCUUCACUGACUCAGUAACGAAGCUAACGCGUGCAGUUGACCGCCUGGGGAGUACGGCCGCAAGGUUGAAACUCAAGGGAAUUGACGGGGGCCCGCACAAAGCGGUGGAUGAUGUGGUUUAAUUCGAUGCAACGCGAAAAACCUUACCCACCUUUUGACAUGUACGGAAUCCUUUAGAGAUAGAGGAGUGCUCGAAAGAGAGCCGUAACACAGGUGCUGCAUGGGCUGUCGUCAGCUCGUGUUGUGAGAUGUUGGGUUAAGUCCCGCAACGAGCGCAACCCUUGCCAUUAGUUGCUACGAAAGGGCACUCUAAUGGGACUGCCGGUGACAAACCGGAGGAAGGUGGGGAUGACGUCAAGUCCUCAUGGCCCUUAUAGGUGGGGCUACACACGUCAUACAAUGGCUGGUACAGAGGGUUGCCAACCCGCGAGGGGGAGCUAAUCCCAUAAAGCCAGUCGUAGUCUGGAUCGCAGUCUGCGACUCGACUGCGUGAAGUCGGAAUCGCUAGUAAUCGCGGAUCAGAAUGUCGCGGUGAAUACGUUCCCGGGUCUUGUACACACCGCCCGUCACACCAUGGGAGCGGGUUCUGCCAGAAGUAGGUAGCCUAACCGUAAGGAGGGCGCUUACCACGGCAGGGUUCGUGACUGGGGUGAAGUCGUAACAAGGUAACC
rnacentral:rRNA from 1 species